UUGCCCUGUCUCUGGGACCUUAGCUCCUCAGGUUCCCCAUGACUUCGUAGCCUUGAAUGCUGAUUUUGCCCCCCAGUCCCGUUAGACUGCUGAAAACUCUGCUGAGCUUCUGAGUCUCUUUGCCAUUUCAUUUCGAUUGACAUCUUGGCCGUCCAGCCCUUGGACGUGCAGCGGUAGUAAUUCAAUAUGCUCCUGAUGCAAGGAGAGUCAAGCAGGUCAGUAGAGUAGAAUCAAGUCCUGUGUUGCUUACACAGGGACCUAUGCCUUGAAGUGAAAGGCAGCUCUGGAUGUCAGGCUUACUUCCAUGUGCUUCUCUUCAGCAUCUUGGCCCCUUGCAUCCUGGUGGUCUUGGCAGCUCAACAAUGUCUUGAAAUAGUUUGGUUGUUUAAUUCAGCUUUCUAAUUGUUCUCAGCAGAAAAGUGUCACCUGACAGGCAUUGGCUGCCAGUGGCUGAGUUGGGAGAACACAGGCCCCCCAACUCUGGCCUCCCGCGCUCACCGCUCCAGCUGCUUCUGAUGCUUCUCCUCCCGGGCCUGGGCCUUCAUCUGCUGCACCUCGAUGGUGUCAGGCUUCCUGCGGCGCAUAUACAGCUCAUGGUUGCCCAUGCAGAGCUGCAGGAUCCGCUUGUUGAUUCUCAGACGCGGGGCAUAAAACACAAAGUCCUACAAAACAGAACAGGGCCACCUGGACUCAAGCUCCUUUGUUUGGUUUUCUUCUCCCAAACCAUCCUUCACAAAGGUCCGGAACUUUUCUAAAAGAACAAAUGUAGCAAAACAGGGAUGGCAGCAUCUCGGCACUGGGAAUGUGCAUUCUCCAGGACAGAUGGAGGAAGGGCACGUGCCGCGUGUGUGUGCGGUUAUGUGUGGGUAUGUAGCACUGGGAAAGUGCAUUCUCUGGGACGGGUGGAGGAAGGGCAGGUGCCGCGUGUGUGUGCAGUUAUGUGUGGGUAGGUACAUGCUGCAUGCACGGUGAAAUGCCACUGCAUGUUAACUGCAAAGCUUUUCCAAGG
rnacentral:lncRNA from 1 species